ensembl:lncRNA
UUGAACAAAUAUUAUUUAACCUAGUUCAGGAAAAUCCCUCUACUACUACAAAACAAGUUUUUCCACUCUUACAGGUCAUGACCAUGUACGGAAGCAACCCACGCUGAUAACCUGUUGCACAACUGAUACUGACUCAGAGCCUUCAAAGCCCAAGUCUCUGCACCUGCUGACCCCUGGCGCUGCCUGGGAGGCCUGUCCAGGCUUCGAACAAUACUUCCUGAAGAGAGGCCAAAAGAAGCUUCUUUUUUUCCUCUGUCUUUCCUCAUCUACAUGAACUUCAGGGCACUGACACCUUUCACACAUCCUAGCCUUCCAACAGAAGUUCUGGAGCACGUGGACCACCUUCCUGCUCAGAGGUUGCAUCCUGGAGAUCACGACUUUCCAGCUCAGACCUUUGUUUGUCCAUGCAGAUGUUUCAGAACCUACGAAAGUUGUUUGCCUUGUUGGGAGAUGAAGAAGCUUGAAAUGGAAAUUUUUACAGGAAAGUGUUCUCUAUUUAUCCCAGCCCCUGUUCAUUCAGCUGUUAACCACAUACUGCUGCACUUUUAACUUUGCUUCGUGCCUCCUGUAUGCCCUGCUCUCACGAGGCAUUUAUCCCUUCUUUUAGAGUCAACUUUGUAUUCUGACUCAUUCAGUAUUGUGUUUGUGGUUAGUUUUAUGGGUCAAGGCAACUGGGAUAACCUUGUGAAGAUCAAAACAGUACUUUUAAGUGACACAGCUGAGGUAUGAAUUUUCAAAUACAUUUAGGAAUAAUAUUGGCAGUCAUUUGUUCUUUACAGGGGUAUGUUUGUUAUGAAAGAAGACAGCAAACACUUUUUAUGCGAACACGUCAGUUGAUGUAUGAAAUAACCUAUUCUUUUUCAGAAAUUUAGUUUUAAAAGGGUGAAUCUAAACUGUCAGGAUUCAUCAAGCUGUUCCCCAGACAGUAUCAGUCUAAUUCAGAGCCCACUGGAGUCUACGAAUAUCUUUUUGUUAUGCUGAUUUGGUUUCCAGUAAAGGGCUGAGGUAUGAAACAUGGUGACACCUUUUGGCCAUGCUGACUUGUAUCUGUAGGAUCUCCUUGCUCCUCGGGACCUCUCAUUUUGUGGUUCAACUGUAGUCUGCCGGAAUAAUUUUGACUUUCUUAGCAAGAGUUGUUACUCAUUGCAAAGCUUGUCAAAAUUUCCGCUCACUUUCAGAGCUAGACAAUUUAGUGAACUGGGACAAUAUGAGCAGCAUUGCCCAAAAUGUUUACAGUGAACAAAGCCAUACCACUAUGUUUUUGGCAAACAGCUGCAUUCUGAAUACUUGCAGGAUCUUUUCAAUAACUGCGGCUUCCUUUCCAGUAGUUCUCUCAGGUGCUUUUUGACAGGCUGGUUUGGGCGGUGCUGCUUUGCACAAAAGCAAGAUUUGCCACCAGACAGCGCAGCCUGCUUCAUUCAUGGUGCCUGCAGGAGCUGGGUAUGAGCUGGGAGUCAUUCGUCAGCUAUUUCUUACCGUUGUGCAAGGCAGCACCUCUGACGUCUUGCUGAGUUUGGGACUGUGCCACCCCACCACGCACACACAGUGC